GAUAAUGUCCCCUAUGCCUCCAUCAUUCCUACCAUAAGGGCCAAAAAGACCAAGAAUAAAACCACAAUCCCUGAUGCUGUGAUAUACAGCACUGUGAAUUCUUCCUCUGCUCAGGUGACCUUUGAUCCCAACGGUCUCUACUCUACAAUCAGUAAAUAAGGGUCAUCAGUUGUUGUUUUAAAAGUCAGGUGAAUUAUUUCCAUCUUAAAGAAGCAGUAU